UCCGUAGGUGAACCUGCGGAAGGAUCAUUCACACACAUCCAUAACUUUCACUGUGAACUCCCUUUUAUGAGUCUCUGCACGGGGUUGGGGAAAGCAUCUGCUUCCUCGUGCUCUGGCUCGCGGGUAGUGGAUUGGCUUAGGACCGUCUUCCUCUGCUGUGAAGCUACCGUUAUUUGUUGAAACGCAUAUUUCUGUGUCUCUUGCUCUGGGUGGUUCGCCACUUCAGUGCAUUAUACACAACUUUCAGCGACGGAUGUCUCGGCUCGAACAACGAUGAAGGGCGCAGCGAAGUGUGAUAAGCAUUGUGAAUUGCAGAAUUCCGUGAACCAAUAGGGAUUUGAACGUAUACUGCGCUUUCGGGAUAUCCCUGAAAGCAUGCCUGCUUCAGUGUCUAUUGAUACCCAUGCCACUGGCACUCUCCAACUCGUUGGUGCCGCCAUGUGUGCGUGUUUGUGUGUCAAGGAGCUUUGUGCCUUUGACACAUUCAGUGCACAGGUUCUGAUCAGCGACAAGCAAUUUGAAUAACACUUCGGUGUCAUUGUUGCUUUGUUUCUGGUCUUAUGCCUGCUUUGCUUCAGAAUUCCUGAUCUCAUUCAAGACAUGAAGUUAGGUGAGCAAACCCGCUGAAUUUAAGCAUAUCAAUA
rnacentral:rRNA from 1 species